CUUCGGUCUCGCGAAUGCAUCUCAGAUUAUAGUUGAUCAUGGCUCAGAUUGAACGCUGGCGGCANGGCCUAACACAUGCAAGUCGAGCGGCAGCACAAGUGAGUUUACUUAUGAGGUGGCGAGCGGCGGACGGGUGAGUAAUGCCUAGGGAUCUGCCCAGUCGAGGGGGAUAACAGUUGGAAACGACUGCUAAUACCGCAUACGCCCUACGGGGGAAAGGAGGGGACCUUCGGGCCUUCCGCGAUUGGAUGAACCUAGUGGGAUUAGCUAGUUGGUGAGGUAAUGGCUCACCAAGGCGACGAUCCCUAGCUGUUCUGAGAGGAUGAUCAGCCACACUGGGACUGAGACACGGCCCAGACUCCUACGGGAGGCAGCAGUGGGGAAUAUUGCACAAUGGGGGAAACCCUGAUGCAGCCAUGCCGCGUGUGUGAAGAAGGCCUUCGGGUUGUAAAGCACUUUCAGUAGGGAGGAAAGCGGUGAGUCUCUAAUACGGCUCAUCUGUGACGUUACCUACAGAANAGGGACCGGCUAACUCCGUGCCCACGCAGCCGCGGUAAUACGGAAGGUCCGAGCGUUAAUCNGGAAAUUUUAANCCUUGGAGGCCGGUUAANAAAGACCGGUUUGGNNUGCCCCNCGAGCGACCGAGCUGAUUGGUUNGUAANACGCCAGANAUCGUGUUGAAAAACGCCCCCNUGGGGGCCUCACCAACGCUNAUGGACAUUANGCUACGUUUCCGCGAACGACUGGGCGCGAGAGCCCUACAGAAGAUCUNUGUGCGUUCCGGAAAGGNGGGGGGUCAUCAANAUNCCCCGNCGGUGAUNCGGUNGAAAAUGCGCUCUAAGAACCUUCUGGGAGNAAACCCCGUGCAAAGCGGCCCCUNUAAAA
rnacentral:rRNA from 1 species